rnacentral:pre_miRNA from 1 species
GCUUCGAAUCUAUGGUUGCAAUGCUGACUUGCUUCAUUGCACUGUAUGGUUCGAGGCGA